rnacentral:rRNA from 1 species
CGUAGGGUGCGGGCGUUAAUCGGAAUUACGUGGGCGUAAAGCGUGCGCAGGCGGUUUUGUAAGACAGAUGUGAAAUCCCCGGGCUCAACCUGGGACCUGCAUUUGUGACUGCAAGGCUAGAGUACGGUAGAGGGGGAUGGAAUUCCGCGUGUAGCAGUGAAAUGCGUAGAUAUGCGGAGGAACACCGAUGGCGAAGGCAAUCCCCUGGACCUGUACUGACGCUCAUGCACGAAAGCGUGGGGAGCAAACAGGAUUAGAUACCCUGGUAGUCCACGCCCUAAACGAUGUCAACUGGUUGUUGGGUCUUUACUGACUCAGUAACGAAGCUAACGCGUGAAGUUGACCGCCUGGGGAGUACGGCCGCAAGGUUG